CCAGAUCGUUUACCGUGAAAAAAUUAGAGUGUUCAAAGCAGGCAGAUCCAAUUUUCUGCCACCGAAUACAUUAGCAUGGGAUAAUGGAAUAGGACCCUGUCCUCCUAUUUUCAGUUGGUUUUGGCAGCGCGAGGACCAGGGUAAUGAUUAAUAGGGAUAGUUGGGGGCAUUAAUAUUUAAUUGUCAGAGGUGAAAUUCUUGGAUUUAUGAAAGAUUAACUUCUGCGAAAGCAUCUGCCAAGGAUGUUUUCAUUAAUCAAGAACGAAAGUUAGGGGAUCGAAGACGAUCAGAUACCGUCGUAGUCUUAACCAUAAACGAUGCCGACCAGCGAUUAGGAGACGUUGAAUACAAAACACCUCUAUCGGCGUGCGGGUCCUGGGG
rnacentral:rRNA from 1 species